GAUGAACGCUGGCGGCGUGCCUAAUACAUGCAAGUCGAGCGGUAAGGCCCUUCGGGGUACACGAGCGGCGGACGGCUGAGUAACACGUAGGAACCUACCCCAAACUGAGGGAUAAGCACCAGAAAUGGUGUCUAAUACCGCAUGUGCCAUACGGAGUAAAGCUUCGGCGGUUUGGGAAGGGCCUGCGUCCGAUUAGCUAGUUGGUGGUAUAAAAGACUACCAAGGCGACGAUCGGUAGCUGGUCUGAGAGGAUGAUCAGCCAGACUGGGACUGAGACACGGCCCAGACUCCUACGGGAGGCAGCAGUAGGGAAUUUUCCACAAUGGGCGAAAGCCUGAUGGAGCAACGCCGCGUGCAGGAUGAAUGCCUUCGGGUUGUAAACUGCUUUUAUCUGUGACGAAUAUGACGGUAGCAGAUGAAUAAGGACCUGCUAACUACGUGCCAGCAGCCGCCGUAA
rnacentral:rRNA from 1 species